GGCGAACGGGUGAGUAACGCGUGGAUAACCUGCCUGUCAGACCGGGACAACACCGGGAAACUGGUGCUAAUACCGGAUACGCUCAUAGGUACGCAUGUACAGAUGAGGGAAGGGGGGACCCGCUGACAGAUGGGUCCGCGUCCCAUUAGCUAGUUGGCGGUGUAAUAGACCACCAAGGCGACGAUGGGUAGCCGGCCUGAGAGGGUGGACGGCCACACUGGAACUGAGACACGGUCCAGACUCCUACGGGAGGCAGCAGUGGGGAAUCUUCCGCAAUGGGCGAAAGCCUGACGGAGCAACGCCGCGUGAGUGAAGAAGGCCUUCGGGUUGUAAAACUCUGUCUUCAGGGAAGAAGGAAGUGACGGUACCUGAGGAGGAAGCCCCGGCUAACUACGUGCCAGCAGCCGCGGUAAAACGUAGGGGGCGAGCGUUGUCCGGAAUUACUGGGCGUAAAGGGCUCGUAGGCGG
rnacentral:rRNA from 1 species